rnacentral:rRNA from 1 species
AGAGUUUGAUCCUGGCUCAGAUUGAACGCUGGCGGCAGGCCUAACACAUGCAAGUCGAGCGGAUGAAGAGAGCUUGCUCUCUGAUUCAGCGGCGGACGGGUGAGUAAUGCCUAGGAAUCUGCCUGGUAGUGGGGGACAACGUUUCGAAAGGAACGCUAAUACCGCAUACGUCCUACGGGAGAAAGCAGGGGACCUUCGGGCCUUGCGCUAUCAGAUGAGCCUAGGUCGGAUUAGCUAGUUGGUGAGGUAAUGGCUCACCAAGGCGACGAUCCGUAACUGGUCUGAGAGGAUGAUCAGUCACACUGGAACUGAGACACGGUCCAGACUCCUACGGGAGGCAGCAGUGGGGAAUAUUGGACAAUGGGCGCAAGCCUGAUCCAGCAAUGCCGCGUGAGUGAUGAAGGCCUUAGGGUUGUAAAGCUCUUUCGCACGCGACGAUGAUGACGGUAGCGUGAGAAGAAGCCCCGGCUAACUUCGUGCCAGCAGCCGCGGUAAUACGAAGGGGGCUAGCGUUGUUCGGAAUUACUGGGCGUAAAGGGCGCGUAGGCGGCCUGUUUAGUCAGAAGUGAAAGCCCCGGGCUCAACCUGGGAAUAGCUUUUGAUACUGGCAGGCUUGAGUUCCGGAGAGGAUGGUGGAAUUCCCAGUGUAGAGGUGAAAUUCGUAGAUAUUGGGAAGAACACCGGUGGCGAAGGCGGCCAUCUGGACGGACACUGACGCUGAGGCGCGAAAGCGUGGGGAGCAAACAGGAUUAGAUACCCUGGUAGUCC